GAUGGAUUCAAAUACAAAAGGAACCGAACUGGAGAUGUGCUCUUCUGUGGAACAGUGAGACAAAUGAAUAAAGCUACAGCAAUAUUUACAAAGAAAGGGCAUGUGAUGACCUCAUGAACCACCCUUUAGACUUCAGUGCUUCUGGCUUUAAUAUUCUGUGCUAGAUUCACAGAGCUCUUCUACAGAUGCUAAGCGUUCAAUCCUGAAGGCUCCACUUCAUCAUCAGGAGUUUUUAAAGCUUCUUUCUAGAUUCUUAAGUGCAGCACAACAGAGAGAAAGUGGCUGUUUGGUCUUUACUGGAGUCUCUCAGGAAAAUACAGCAGAAGGCCACAGAGCUGGAAAUAUCUGCAUGUACUUCAAGUGACUUAACUGGAAAAGAAUGCUGCUGGGAUAUAUAUGGAGCAGCAGCACAGAGGAGCUCCUCAACUGCCCCUCAUCACCAUAUGAAAGAGGACAGAAUGUAUGUGCCUACUGUACUGAUCAGUGCAAUGCACAGACGGAAGGACUGGGACUCAGUUUGCUGUGGUGUGUCAUGAUUCUCAGAUCACAGAUCGACACUGCCUGUGAUUUCCUGGUGAUGAAGUUCACAGUGGCUGCAAGUCCCAGGCAUGUAUCAUACAAGCAUUAGGAGAGAACGGUUCUUGGACCUUGUAUCCACAUUAUAGAAGAGUCUAUAAGCUCCCUUUGAGCACUGCUUCUUCUAUGGCUCCACCCAGAAAGAAGAUGACCUGCACAAAUCCACAGUACACAUCUGUGUUUGCUUCAUAACAGCAAACACAGGUUGUACAUUUCAAUGAUCCCUAAUCAAUCUUGUUUCAGAAGUUGUUUUAUGAUACAGUAUAUGAUCAUAAUUAUGAAGUGCAUAACUGACACAUGUAUUGAUUAAAAUCUCAAAAAUGAAAAUAUCACCUUUGUGUUAAGCCUACGAUGGUACCAAGCUAAAGGCCAUAUCUCUUUUCAAAUACUACAAAGCAACAUGUAUUUUAGGACGUAGGCUUUAUAUAUUAAAUUUACUGUGUCUUUGUUGUUAUU
ensembl:lncRNA